GUGGGGAAUCUUGCGCAAUGGGCGAAAGCCUGACGCAGCCAUGCCGCGUGGAUGAUGAAGGUCUUAGGAUUGUAAAAUCCUUUCGCCGGUGAAGAUAAUGACUGUAGCCGGAGAAGAAGCCCCGGCUAACUUCGUGCCAGCAGCCGCGGUAAUACGAAGGGGGCUAGCGUUGCUCGGAAUUACUGGGCGUAAAGGGAGCGUAGGCGGACAUUUAAGUCAGGGGUGAAAUCCCGAGGCUCAACCUCGGAACUGCCUUUGGUACUGGGUGUCUUGAGUGUGAGAGAGGUGAGUGGAACUCCGAGUGUAGAGGUGAAAUUCGUAGAUAUUCGGAAGAACACCAGUGGCGAAGGCGACUCACUGGCUCAUUACUGACGCUGAGGCUCGAAAGCGUGGGGAGCAAACAGGAUUAGAAACCCUGGUAGUCC
rnacentral:rRNA from 1 species